GACAAUUCCAUGUUGCGGAUUCACAUUUAAUAUUACACACGAGCUACAGACGUCCCGUGGGACACAGUAUGUUGACCUACACUCGGACAUGCACCUGUCACAAGUACAGGUAUUCAUUAAGCCAGAUUUUAUCACUGAGCCUUACAGAGUGCCAUCGUGAACUAGAGAGUAUAGGACGAUGGUACUACUGGUUGGACACGGUCGGACAAUGCUUUUUCUCCUCUUUGGCGCACUUUCAGUCAUCUGCGGUACAUUGGCGGCUAUUCCCCCAGGAUGCACACCAUUGAACAACAAAGUCUACUCUGACAAAAACCCAGCCACAAUAUACGAGGCCAAUGCCGAGCUUCUUGGAGUGGCGCCUCCUUCCAAACGUUUUGGCAAGAUGCGCUCACAGGGUGCCCUGCCGACGCACCAUUUUGCAAUCAAUCAAAUGAAAAAGGGAAUGGUUCCAAUACGACAGUUUCCG